GCGAAUCACGUGGAGAGAAUCCGUUGAUCGUCUUGUCCCUGCUGUAAGAGUUGCUCCGUUCUUGAUUUCAUUUUGGUUGCUACCUCGCUUUGUUUUUAACACUCCCUCCCCCUCUCAUACAUUUCACCGAAGAAUGAGCGACAACGAAGAUAUCGACGUUGACAGUGACGCUGACAAACGAGCACAUCACAAUGCGCUGGAGCGCAAACGUAGGGACCACAUUAAAGACAGCUUCAGCAGUUUACGGGACUCUGUGCCUGUGUUACAAGGGGAGAAGCAAUCUGUCAAACAGGCUUCCCGAGCUCAGAUCCUAGACAAAGCCACAGACUACAUCCAGUACAUGAGACGGAAAAACCACACACACCAGCAGGACAUUGACGACCUGAAGAAGCAGAAUGCAAUGCUAGAGCAGCAGGGUGAGUGUGGGCUCAAGGCCCAGGGACAACUGCAGGUGCAGGAGGUCCGUGCACUGGAGAAGGCCAAAGGGAACACUACUCUCCAGGCCAACUACUCUUCCUCUGACAGCAGCUGGUACACCAACCCCAAGGGGAGCACAGUGUCUGCCUUCGAUGGAGGCUCCGACUCCAGCUCUGAAUCAGAGACAGAGGAGCCGGCCAAUAGAAAGAAGCUGCGUGUGGAGCCCAUCUAGACUCCAUCCACAGUGUUAUCACCAGAGAGACUCUUAUCCACCAGCCCCCUCCUCCUCCUGUUCAGUCUGUUUCCAUCUUUCUCAUGCCAGUCCAGGAGACAGAGGGAAGACCAUGUGAGAAAGAUCCUCAAGCUCUUGUCAGGUCGGAUUUGGAACAUCGCUGCAUAGCUAUUUUCAGGUCUCUCCAGAGAUGUUCGAUUGGGUUCAAGUCUGGGCUCUGGCUGGGCCCUUCAAGGACAUUGAGGCUUGUCCUGAAGCCACUGGUGCAUUGUCUUUGUCCUGUAGGAAGGUAAGCUAUCACCCCAGUCUGAGGUCCUGAGCAGGUUUUCAUCGAGGAUCUCUGUACUUUGCUUCGUUCAUCUUUCCCUCGAUCGUGACUAGUCUCCCAGUCCCUG